AAGCUCGUAGUUGAAUUUCGGGCCUGGCCGGGCGGUCGGCUUAACGGCGUGCACUGUCUGGCUGGGCCUUACCUCUUGGUGAGCUGGCGUGUCCUUUAUUGGAUGCGUCGGGGAACCAGGACUUUUACCUUGAGAAAAUUAGAGUGUUCAAAGCAGGCCUAUGCCCGAAUACAUUAGCAUGGAAUAAUAAAAUAGGACGUGCGGUUCUAUUUUGUUGGUUUCUAGAGUCGCCGUAAUGAUUAAUAGGGAUAGUUGGG
rnacentral:rRNA from 1 species